UAGUCCACGCCGUAAACGAUGUUCACUCGCUGUCUGCGAUACACAGUAGGCGGCUUAGCGAAAGCAUUAAGUGAACCACCUGGGGAGUACGGCCGCAAGGUUAAAACUCAAAUGAAUUGACGGGGGCCCGCACAAGCGGUGGAGCAUGUGGUUUAAUUCGAUGCAACGCGAAGAACCUUACCAGGUCUUGACAUCCUCGGAACUUUCCAGAGAUGGAUCGGUGCCUUCGGGAGCCGAGUGUCAGGUGCUGCAUGGCUGUCGUCAGCUCGUGUCGUGAGAUGUUGGGCUAAGUCCCGUAACGAGCGCAACCCUUGUCCUUAGUUGCCAGCGCGUAAUGGCGGGAACUCUAGGGAAACUGCCGGUGACAAACCGGAGGAAGGUGGGGACGACGGUCAAGUCAUCAUGGCCCUUACGACCUGGGCUACACACGUGCUACAAUGGCCGGUACAGAGAGUUGCAAAGCAGCGAUGUGGAGCUAACCUCAUAAACCGGUCGUAGUCCGGAUU
rnacentral:rRNA from 1 species